CUCUCUGCAAGUCAUUUGUUACAUUUGUUUCUCCUGAUGUACUGAGUACUGAAUAAAAGGUGUGGUAAGCUGGGGACUUUGUCUUUGCCACCCAGAGCAGCACUGAUCAGACCCAAAGUGCAGCUUCUUCUCAGUCUCAUUUUUCUACCUUUCCUGUAAUUUGCCGUGUACUGCCAUGGCUCGCAGGAGACUAGGAUUUAACUGCAGAGGUUCUAGUAACUUCCCCUUCCCCUGUUCCCUACAAGGUGAUACUUGUUUCCAGGAGUAAAUUCGGGAGCAAUGCUUCCCUUUCAAUUUCGUUGAAGAGUUUAAACAGUAGUGUCAGUAGUUCCUCUCUAAAUGUCUUGUAGAAUUCAGCGGUGAAGUCAUCAUGAACUGGGCUUUUCUUAGUUGAGCCGAGGACACCAGGAAAGACGAAGAAGGUUUUGAAAAUGGUCACCUGAUAGAAACAUCUGUCAUUGACAUUUUUAACAGAAUUGAUGGCACAGAUACCUCAAUGGUCAUACCUCUUUUCUUUCUUUUAAUGAUGAUGCUAAGCAGAUGCUGACAUGAUCUUCAUUGACAAGAACUUGUCAUCAUGUCUUCUUUUAAUUUUGUCAAAUGGUUUACUCUACCUCUUUGAAUCUAUUUGUAAUACCUGCUUUAAUGUCCUGUUUGUUUCUGCUAAGUAAGGCAUGUAGCCCCCCACCAUUGUGUUUAUUCCUCAAUGUUUCCUGUAUUGAUCAUGGUUUUCUAUUUUUUGCAAAUGUCUUUAAAAUGAUAUUUUAGAUAAUACAUUGAAGCAAUUUUGAAUACUGAUUCCCUUUCCCC
rnacentral:lncRNA from 1 species